GGGGCCCAUAUCAUCCUAACCGUAUAUUUUUUCAUCCAAUGACCGAAACCUAUUAGCAUCAAUAGCUUGGUACUAUUAAUAGUAUUCGCUAUAAGCAGUAUUUAGAGGCCAUCGGCCCUAAAUCUAAAUAAAUUUUUAUGGACUUCAAAUUAGAAGCAUUGUCACGCCCCGAAUUACUACGUUUUUCCGGGCACGCUAAUAGACCCGCCGUAUAUAUAGAAAUUUUUCGU
rnacentral:lncRNA from 1 species